AUCCAUCUGACGAGUCCAAAAUAGGACGAAACGCGCGUCCUGGAU
rfam:Schistosoma mansoni strain Puerto Rico chromosome 2, complete genome